UACGUAGGGUGCGAGCGUUAAUCGGAAUUACUGGGCGUAAAGCGUGCGCAGGCGGUCCGCAAAGUCUGAUGUGAAAGCCCCGGGCUCAACCUGGGAACUGCAUUGGAAACUAACGGGCUCGAGUGUGGCAGAGGGGGGUGGAAUUCCACGUGUAGCAGUGAAAUGCGUAGAGAUGUGGAGGAACACCGAUGGCGAAGGCAGCCCCCUGGGCUAACACUGACGCUGAGAAGCGAAAGCAUGGGGAGCGAACAGG
rnacentral:rRNA from 1 species